GACGAGGUGCGUGAACGCGAAAAAGAAGAAGAAGCGGUAGUACCGUAGGAGGGGUACGAGGAGAUUCCAACCUAAAACCCGUUUUCCGUCGCGUAGGUGGAAGACGAGAAAUACUUAGAAGGAAAAGGAGUAGUAGUGGCACCGGAGAAGGUUACAAUCCUAAAGCCCUCGCCCCCUGACUUCCUCACUCCGUCGAUCAUCCCCGAGUCUCUGUACAGGCCCCACUUCAUCGUUACCGCUUGACAGAUUACCGAGGACACUAAACGGCCUACCAAGGACCGGGGAGGAGGAAAAGACAAAGAAAUAGUGUAAGUGGAGGACGAGGACUUAGCCCCAAAGUCGUCGUUGUCUACAUCUUCCUCUAUCGUUUUAGACGAGGUGUGCGAACGCGAGGAAGAAGAGGAAGAGGGGAACGAGGAGAUUCCAUCCUAAACCCCGUUUUCCUUCUAAGACGAGAAAUACGUAUAAGGAGAAGGAGUAGUAGCGGCGGCGGAGACGGUUGCAAUCCUAAAGCCCUCGCCCCCUGACCUCCUUACUCAAUGUCCGUAGCGGCCCCACUUCACCGUUGCCGCUCAACGGCCUACCGAGGACGAGGUAGGAGGAGAAGGCAAAGAAACAGUGGAAGAGGAGGACGACGUUCUAACCCCAAAAUCGCCGCCUCCUGCCGUAUUAGAGGCGCACGAACGCGAGGAAGGCGGAAACGAAGAAGAAGUAGCUGCGGUAGGCCCGGAGGCGGAGGGGGAGGAAGUUUAAUAUAACACCCCCUUCCUCGUCGCUCCGGCGGAAGAAGAGAAAUGCUUAGAAGGAGAGGAAGGAGUAGCGGCGGCGGCGGCGGUAGAGAACGCCCUAACCCCAAGGCCCUCGCCCCCUAACCCGACCCCAAACCUCCUUACCCCGCCAUCCCUCCCCAAGCCUCCGUACCCCUCUAACGCUGACUCGGUAGGGGUGGAGGUGCACGAAGCCGAAAAAGAAGAAGGCGGCGCAGCGGAGUGAGAGAGGGCAGCGGCGGCAGCUGUAACCACGACGCCCUAAGGGGAGG
rnacentral:rRNA from 1 species